AACGAACGCUGGCGGCAGGCCUAACACAUGCAAGUCGAACGCGCGUAGCAAUACGCGAGUGGCGCACGGGUGAGUAACACGUGGGAAUCAACCCAGAGGUUCGGAAUAACCGCGGGAAACUGCGGCUAAUACCGGAUAUCCCCUACGGGGGAAAGAUUUAUCGCCUUUGGACGAGCCCGCGUCCGAUUAGCUAGUUGGUGAGGUAACGGCUCACCAAGGCUCCGAUCGGUAGCUGGUCUGAGAGGACGACCAGCCACACUGGAACUGAGACACGGUCCAGACUCCUACGGGAGGCAGCAGAGGGGAAUAUUGGGCAAUGGAGGCAACUCUGACCCAGCCAUGCCGCGUGGGUGACGAAGGUCUUCGGAUUGUAAAGCCCUUUCGGCGGGGACGAUGAUGACGGUACCCGCAGAAGAAGCCCCGGCUAACUUCGUGCCAGCCGCCGCGGUAAAAC
rnacentral:rRNA from 1 species